GAACGCAUUUGCACAUUUUUGUAUUGCAACGAGGAGGAUCCAUUUGCCCACUUGUUUUCGCCAGCACAAGAUAAAUAGCAGCCACACCCAGCACAUCGACCUGCAGCCAACUCACGAACUAACUACCAGAAGAUCUCAAAGGCUUCGAUUCUUGACCCCAAGCAAGUGGUUAAGCAUAAGCAACUUAAACGACAGCGACAGAAACCAUGUCACUCUACUUGGCGCCCACGGCCGCCGCUGCCACCACCACCACCACCACCCUCCCAAGGCAGCUGCUACCAGCGCCGUCCAUCGACCUAAGGCGGCUGGAACGACGUGGCAUGGCGCUGCCCCUGCCACCGGCGCCGGCGCCGCCGCCACCGCUGGUCAGUGCCAACAACAGGCAUGCCGGAGCGAAGCACAAGGCCGUGGUGGUGAUGGGCGCCACGGGGACCGGCAAGUCGCGGCUGGCGGUGGACCUGGCGCUCCGGUUCGGCGGCGAGGUCAUCAACUCGGACAAGAUCCAGCUGCACGCCGGCCUGGACGUGACCACGAACAAGGUGACCGAGCAGGAGCGCGCCGGCGUGCCGCACCACCUGCUCGGGGUGGCGCGGCCCGACGAGGAGUUCACGGCCGCGGACUUCCGGCGCGAGGCGACCCGCGCCGCGCGCGCCAUCACCGCGCGCGGCCGCCUGCCCAUCGUCGCGGGAGGGUCCAACUCGUACGUGGAGGAGCUGGUGGACGGCGACCGCGCCGCGUUCCGCGACCGCUACGACUGCUGCUUCCUCUGGGUGGACGUGCAGCGCGCCGUGCUGCACGGCUGCGUGGCGCGGCGCGUCGACGAGAUGCGCGCCCGCGGCCUGGUGGACGAGGUCGCGGCGGCCUUCGACCCGCGCCGCAACGACUACUCGCGCGGCCUCUGGCGCGCCAUUGGCGCGCCCGAGCUCGACGCGUACCUGCGGUGGCCGGGACCGGGUGUAGACGGCGACGCGGAAAGCGAGGGCGAGCGCGACCGGCUGCUGGCCGCCGCCAUCGAGGACAUCAAGUCCAACACCCGCCGCCUGUCGUGCCGGCAGCGCGCCAAGAUCCAGCGCCUGGCCAAGAUGUGGGGCGUCCGGCGCGUCGACGCCACCGAGGUCUUCCGGAGGCGCGGCGACGAGGCCGACGAGGCCUGGCAGCGGCUCGUCGCCGCGCCGUGCAUCGACGCCGUGCGCUCCUUCCUACGAACCGACGACGCCGCGGCGACCGUCGCCAGUGACCUGGCGGUGGACGGAGUCGUGCCCGUGUUCGCUCCCGCGCCGGCUGCGGCCGUAGCAGGAUAACGGACGACGAAGCUCCUCCAUGAGCGCGUUGACAGCUGCACUGCAUUCACGAAUAGCCAUUAUGUAUAAGGACACCAUUACUUGGUGCGAUGGCUGCGAUCGUCGUCAAGAAGGAAAAAGGGAGUGGUCGAGAAGCGAGGGGAAUGACGAGCAUGAUUAUAGUAGUAUCUACGUCGGAACUUGCAUGGGACUCAGUCGCACAAAGAGAUUGGCGUGAUUGCUUCGAGAAUCGUGCGUUUGAAAUCCUAGCUAGGAGAGGAGGAGAGAAGCAAACGGAGAAAGUGGAUUUACUAUCAUAUAUAUGGCCGCAUAUAUAGCACUUGCAUACAGAUAAAUGCGUUACAUGUAUGUUCGAGCGAGGAGCAUGCAUUAUUUGCACGAGUUGGCACCUGCUGUGUUUGACUUAUCACCUGUCCUUUUCACCCGGUUUCUGUUUUAUUUGUUAUAUGAAAGUGAUGCUAGCUU
rnacentral:misc_RNA from 1 species